AUCAUCACUGACAUUUCCACCUCUACCAUCUCCACCCCGUUGCCACCCCCAGUAGAUAACUCCUGGCUCCAUAGUGGCUCUCUUCACCGAAGGUCUCCUCCAGGUUAUAUCGUCCCUAAAAAGCAUCCUGCUCGGCCUGCUCUUUCUCUACCAAUUUGCUUGGAAGCUCCUGCCCCUCCGGUCUCCAACAGCAUAGACACCACCAAAACUACCAGCCGCCCCAAACGAGUCCCUCCUAAUGUUCCCAGGAGACCCACUCAACAGCCACGAUGAGACACAAAUGCCCACCUGUGAGAAAAAGUGCCAACGACAAGAUCUGCUUGAAUUGUCAUUAAGAAGACGGCAAAGAUUCACAUCUUAGACACAGUGGAAAACAGACUUGGAGAUAGCAAAACUGAUCUCCAGAUGGUCUUUUUGCUCAGCGAUUCUGCCUUCAGUGGUGAGAUUGAGCAUUGUGCUGAGGUUUGUUCCUGUUUUGUAUAUAUGUUGAUGUUUGCAAUGCGAGUGAGUUUCUUUUAGCUCUUUAUCACAUUUAAAUAAAAAGCAUUUUGGGAUUUUGUAAAUACUGUGUAUUUAAGAAGUCCAACAUUUUCCUGUGGUUAUUGGUGUUAACUAAAGCAAGCAUAACUGUUAUAAUUGCUCAUGUCAAGUAUUUAACCCGUCAGCAUGUGAUUUCUCACACUGGUUGUGCUAGGAACGCAAUUUG